rnacentral:lncRNA from 1 species
ACUAAUACAAAUGAAUGGUCAGAGAAUGGAAAAGGCCUUGGGAUGGCAGGCAUGCCCAGCCAGGUAUAGCACAGGGCUUCUGUUUUACUGAAAGUAACAUCACAUCAGAGAAGCUGCCUAUGGCUGGGCUCUGUGUAAAUAAAAGAAGGAAUGUGCUCUAUGCCAUUAAUUCACAGUGAGGAAUCUAAACUAAGGCUGGACAAGGAUGGCUCCAAUGCAAACACUGCUGGGACAAGCUGUGGGUGACAUCCCAGGCUGCUUAACCUACUGUGCUUCGCAGAAUUAUGGGAAAGGAAGGAAAGAUGUGCAGCAGAAGUAAUCAUCAGAUUCCCUAUCUGCCACACCUGGAGUAUGAUCGCCUCAUUAACAAUCAAAUGUCCACUAAGGAGCAAAUCAAAACAGUCUGUCUCAUCUUCAAAAACAAACAAGGACACUUGUGAAGACAAAACAAAGCAGCUGUAUGCAGGAAGAACAAAAACAGAGGUAUGCCUUGUGCUCAGAUGUACAUCCAAGGAAAGCUGCUCUUUGCCAACUCUAUUAUCAUUGGGUACAGCCAGUCUACUAAAGACCUUAAAAAAUAGCUAAGACAAAGAGUGAUUAUCACAUGGGUUACUUCCAAGUGAUUUCACGUUCAGGUAUUUUACUGUCCAUCAGCAUUGGUUGUAAUAACUUC